CCCAAAUCAAAGGGUAUCACGUUCACCUGAAGUCUGUCACGUGGUCACUGAUUCCUUCUCGUAGAGAGACCCUGCGGGAAGUAUCCAUU
rnacentral:rRNA from 1 species